rnacentral:rRNA from 1 species
GUGAACGCUGGCGGUAGGCCUAACACAUGCAAGUCGAACGGCAGCACAGUAAGAGCUUGCUCUUACGGGUGGCGAGUGGCGGACGGGUGAGGAAUACAUCGGAAUCUACUUUUUCGUGGGGGAUAACGUAGGGUAACUUACGCUAAUACCGCAUACGACCUACGGGUGAAAGCAGGGGAUCUUCGGACCUUGCGCGAUUGAAUGAGCCGAUGUCGGAUUAGCUAGUUGGCGGGGUAAAGGCCCACCAAGGCGACGAUCCGUAGCUGGUCUGAGAGGAUGAUCAGCCACACUGGAACUGAGACACGGUCCAGACUCCUACGGGAGGCAGCAGUGGGGAAUAUUGGACAAUGGGCGCAAGCCUGAUCCAGCCAUACCGCGUGGGUGAAGAAGGCCUUCGGGUUGUAAAGCCCUUUUGUUGGGAAAGAAAAGCAGCAGGUUAAUACCCCGCUGUUCUGACGGUACCCAAAGAAUAAGCACCGGCUAACUUCGUG